UCUGCGUCAUAGAAUCUCCCUCAGUUGAGAUCGAUGGUGCUACAGCAGGGACAGUCGACUUGCAUCCUAAGGUGCAGGUCAGGAAUCAUUCUUUCUCCUCACCUCGGUUGGUUGAUGAGGUGGGGGCUCAAUUAAUAAGGCUCAAAGAGAAUAUUGUGGAUCCCAGAAAACAUCGCUUCUCCUCGAAUUGGCCAAGGAGGGCAUGGCAGAGGUGGACCG
rnacentral:lncRNA from 1 species